rnacentral:tRNA from 1 species
GGGCCGGUCGUCUAGCGGAAGGAUGCCCAGGCGCCGGCGCGGGCGAACCCGGGUUCGAAUCCCGGCCGGUCCA